rnacentral:misc_RNA from 1 species
CAUUUAGAGGAAGGAGAAGUCGUAACAAGGUUUCCGUAGGUGAACCUGCGGAAGGAUCAUUGUCGAAUCCUACAAACAAACACGACCGGCGAACUUGUUCAACUACUCGGGGUCGAGGCGCGGGCGGCAGCGAUGCCCUUCCCGUCUCGCUCCAAAGUCGGGGUGCGAGCCCCGCAACAAACGAACCCCGGCGCGAAAAGCGCCAAGGAAUACUGAAAGCGGGGGCCUUCCUCUCCCUGCCCCGUUCGCGGAGCGCGGGGCGAGGCAACGGCUUCUUUUCGAACGAAAAAACGACUCUCGGCAACGGAUAUCUCGGCUCUCGCAUCGAUGAAGGACGUAGCGAAAUGCGAUACUUGGUGUGAAUUGCAGAAUCCCGUGAACCAUCGAGUCUUUGAACGCAAGUUGCGCCCGAAGCCGUCAGGCCGAGGGCACGUCUGCCUGGGCGUCACGCAUCGCGUCGCCCCCCGCACUGCCUCGYCUCCUGAGGGCGAGUCGCCAGUGUGCCGGGGCGGACCGUGGCUUCCCGUGCCAUUUUCCCGGCGCGGUUGGCCGAAAUGCGAGUCUGGGGCGAAGGACGUCACGACAAGUGGUGGUUGGAACUUUCAACUCUCGUGCUGUCGUGCCUUGUUCGUUCGCCCGACGGAGACUGAUGAGACCCUGACGCGCUUGUCUCGUUCCGACGGAAGGAGCCACGCGUUACGACCGCGACCCCAGGUCAGGCGGGACUACCCGCUGAGUUUAA